rnacentral:rRNA from 1 species
GCAAUGCGGGGGCUUACCAUGCAGUCGAGCGAUGAAGCACCUUCGGGUGUGAAUUAGCGGCGAACGGGUGAGGAACACGUGAAGAGUCUGCCUUCAACUCUGGGAUAACUCCGGGAAACCGGGGCUAAUACCGGAUAUGAGCCUUGAUCGCAUGAUCGGGGCUGGAAAGUUUUUCGGUUGAAGAUGACUUCGCGGCCUAUCAGCUUGUUGGUGAGGUAAUGGCUCACCAAGGCGACGACGGGUAGCCGGCCUGAGAGGGCGACCGGCCACACUGGGACUGAGACACGGCCCAGACUCCUACGGGAGGCAGCAGUGGGGAAUAUUGGGCAAUGGAGGAAACUCUGACCCAGCGACGCCGCGUGAGGGAUGAAGGCCUUCGGGUUGUAAACCUCUUUCAGUAGGGAAGAAGCGAAAGUGACGGUACCUACAGAAGAAGCACCGGCUAACUGUGUGCCAGCAGCCGCGGUAAUACAUAGGGUGCAAGCGUUGUCCGGAAUUAUUGGGCGUAAAGAGCUCGUAGGUGGUUCGAUACGUCGGAUGUGAAAAUCAGGGGCUCAACCCCUGACCUGCAUCCGAUACGGUCGAGCUAGAGUUUGGUAGGGGAGACUGGAAUUCCUGGUGUAGCGGUGGAAUGCGCAGAUAUCAGGAGGAACACCGAUGGCGAAGGCAGGUCUCUGGGCCAAUACUGACACUGAGGAGCGAAAGCGUGGGGAGCGAACAGGAUUAGAUACCCUGGUAGUCCACGCCGUAAACGGUGGGCGCUAGUUGUGCGAACCUUCCACGGUUUGUGCGACGCAGCUAACGCAUUAAGCGCCCCGCCUGGGGAGUACGAUCGCAAGAUUAAAACUCAAAGGAAUUGACGG